GAUGAACGCUGGCGGCGUGCUUAACACAUGCAAGUCGAACGAAGCGACUAUGAUUGAGAUUUCGGUUGAUUGAUUAGUUGACUUAGUGGCGGACGGGUGAGUAACGCGUGGGUAACCUGCCUCGUACAGGGGGAUAACAGUUAGAAAUGACUGCUAAUACCGCAUAAGCGCACAGUACCGCAUGGUACGGUGUGAAAAACUCCGGUGGUAUGAGAUGGACCCGCGUCUGAUUAGCUAGUUGGUGGGGUAACGGCCUACCAAGGCGACGAUCAGUAGCCGGACUGAGAGGUUGAACGGCCACAUUGGGACUGAGACACGGCCCAGACUCCUACGGGAGGCAGCAGUGGGGAAUAUUGCACAAUGGGCGCAAGCCUGAUGCAGCGAUGCCGCGUGAGGGAAGAAGUAUUUCGGUAUGUAAAGUUCUAUCAGCAGGGAAGAAAGAUGACGGUACCUGACUAAGAAGCACCGGCU
rnacentral:rRNA from 1 species